rnacentral:lncRNA from 1 species
GCAUGCUUAUAUGAUUACUUUACCUUGUAAUAUAUGACCAAUAUGAUAUGUAAUGUGUUAAGCAACAUGUUAUGUGAUGACUUGAUUCUUAUAAGUGUAGACUCAUAUUAGUUUACACAUACUAAUUGAAAAGACCGACUUGUUAACGUUAGGUCGUUUCAACGCAAGUUAAUUAAAGCUAGAAUUAAAUUGUAGCUGAGCAAACAGGCAAGUUCCCU